AUUGAACGCUGGCGGCAGGCCUAACACAUGCAAGUCGAGCGGAGCGGCGGACGGGUGAGUAAUGCCUAGGAAUCUGCCUGGUCGUGGGGGAUAACGUCCGGAAACGGGCGCUACUACCGCAUACUCUCAGCUGAGCCUAGUUCGGAUUAGCUAGUUGGUGGGGUAAAGGCCUACCAAGGCGACGAUCCGUAACUGGUCUGAGAGGAUGAUAAGUCACACUGGAAUUGAGACACGGGCCAGAAUCCUACGGGAGGCAGCAGUGGGGAAAAUUGGACAAGGGGCGAAAGCAUGAUCCAGCCAUGCCGCGUGUGUGAAGAAGGGAUUCGGAUGGUAAAGCACGUUAAGUUGGGAGGCGUUACAAACAGAAUAAGCACCGGCUAACUUCGUGCAAGCAGCCGCGGUAAUUA
rnacentral:rRNA from 1 species